UGGGGAAUAUUGCACAAUGGGGGAAACCCUGAUGCAGCGACGCCGCGUGAGUGAAGAAGUAUUUCGGUAUGUAAAGCUCUAUCAGCAGGGAAGAAAAUGACGGUACCUGAGUAAGAAGCCCCGGCUAACUACGUGCCAGCAGCCGCGGUAAUACGUAGGGGGCGAGCGUUAUCCGGAUUUACUGGGUGUAAAGGGAGCGUAGACGGCGAUGCAAGUCUGGAGUGAAAACCCAGGGCUCAACCCUGGGAUUGCUUUGGAAACUGUAUAGCUGGAGUGCAGGAGAGGCAGGCGGAAUUCCUAGUGUAGCGGUGAAAUGCGUAGAUAUUAGGAGGAACACCAGUGGCGAAGGCGGCCUGCUGGACUGAGACUGACGUUGAGGCUCGAAGGCGUGGGGAGCAAACAGGAUUAGAUACCC
rnacentral:rRNA from 1 species